CUUCACUUUCACUUUCAACCUCUCUAUAUCUCUCAAAACCUCUGUUUCUUCUCAUCACAACAAUGGCGAUUCUUCAUUCACCCAUUAAGCUCCAACCCUCUUCUAAACUCAUAACCCUCUUCUUCUUAAUCUCCUCCUCUUUAUGCACUGCCUAUUUCUUAGCCUCUGUUUUCCUGCUGCGAACUUUCUCUCCGCCCCAUCUUUCUUCUACUCAUCCUCCCUCCCCUCUCUCCCUCCAUCAAAUCGUCUUCGGAAUCGCCGCCGACAAGAACUCAUGGCCCAAACGAAAGGAUUAUCUCAAGAUUUGGUGGAAGCCCAGAUUAAUGCGAGGCUGUGUUUUCCUCGACGAGCUUCCGGAACACGAAAAUCCCAAGAACCACGACGCUUCUUCGCUCCCCGCCGUCUACGUCUCCGGCGACACUUCCCGGUUCCGUUAUACUUACAGAGGCGGUUACCGAUCCGCGAUAAGGAUCGCACGAGUGGUGCUGGAAACGAUAGCUGUCGGACAUUCAAAUGUCCGGUGGUACGUUUUCGGCGACGAUGACACGUUUUUCUUCCCGGAGAAUUUGGUGAAGACACUGUCCAAAUACGACGACGAGCUCUGGUACUAUAUCGGAAGCAACUCUGAAACUUCCGACCAAAACAGAGUAUUCGGUUACGAAAUGGGAUUCGGCGGAGCUGGAUUCGCCAUUAGCCAAUCUUUAGCUAGAAUUCUUCGAAAAGUAUUCGAUUCGUGUAUUGAACGGUACCCACAUCUCUAUGGAAGCGAUUCGAGGAUCCAAUCUUGUUUGACAGAGCUCGGAGUGAAAUUAACCCACGAACAGGGCUUCCAUCAGGUCGAUUUAAAAGGCAACAUUUUUGGACUUUUGGCUUCACACCCAUUAACCCCAUUAGUUUCAUUGCAUAAUUUAGAUCACAUCGAGCCAAUUUUCCCCAACAUGACGGUCAAGGAAUCACUCCAACAUCUUUUCGAAGCCGUCGAGGUCGAUUCACAGAGGAUCGUGCAACAGAGUGUGUGCUACGAUCGGUGGUUCUCAUGGACUAUUUCAGUGUCGUGGGGUUACGCCGUUCAAAUACACGAACGGAAUGUGUUCUUGCCGGAUGCCAUUAGCGUUCAACGAACAUUCAUGCCAUGGAAAAGGGAAUUGAGGGUUGAGCCUGGUUCUUUUGCAAUGAACACGAGAGAAAUUCAUGAAGACCCAUGUCGGCGGCCGAUUGUUUUCUAUUUUGAUCGUGCUUCUUCUAAUUGGAAUGGAUUAAUUGAGAGCAAUUACAAGAAAGCUUUUGUGAAUUGCUCUUAUGGUCCUAACUCGGCUAGAAGAUUGGAGGAAGUCAGAGUUUUGUCUCGUAAACUCGACCUUGAUUUCAAACAGUUGCAGGCUCCGAGAAGACAGUGCUGUGAUGUAUUGCCUUCCAAUGGCGGUGAAGGAUUGGAUAUCGCCAUUAGAGACUGCAAGGAAGAAGAGUUAAUUCACAUGCAUUAACAGUAUAAGAAAUAGAACUGGCCAAAGCUUGUGAUUUGCCGGAGAUUUUGAGUAUUUUUGGGGUUUUCAAUCCAUGGUGAAAGCUAUCCGUCUCAUGGUUUUAAAGCAUGUUUGAGAGCAUCUCACAAUUCCACCUUCUAGAGAGCUAGCAAGGGAUCUCACAAUUCCACCUCGUAGGGGGCUAGCAUCCUUGCUAAGCACACCCUUGAUGUCUGUAGCUCAAACCCUGUUCGUUUUAGACAGUUACGUAUCGCCGGUCUUACAGUUUUAAAAAAGGUCUAGUGAGAGGUUUAGAGGUUUCCACACUAUCAUUUUAUGUUUGAUUUUUUUAUCUUUUUGUUGCUACUAUUGGGGUCAAGCAUACUUGGUUGGAACCAUAUGACAUUAAAACUCCAUCUCAAUCUAAGCUAGCUUGAGAUGUUUGCAGUAGGAUCUUUAUCA